rnacentral:misc_RNA from 1 species
CUACAUUUAGACAUCUGCCUGUGCCCGGUAGAAAAUAGAAAUGGCUGCAAGUGUAAGUCUGUUUGGAUAUUGGGCGAGUCCUUUCACCCUCAGAGUCAAGUGGGCUUUGAAACUUAAAGGAAUUCAAUAUGAGUAUAUCGAAGAGGAUCUACCAAACAAGAGUCCCCUGCUGCUGCAAUACAACCCUGUUCAUAAAAAAAUUCCUGUCCUUGUACAUGAAGGCAAACCCUUGGCAGAGUCUUUGGUGAUCAUGGAAUACAUUGAUGAGGUGUGGAAGGAAAGUCCUCUUCUCCCACAAGAUCCUUACGGUAGGGCUAAAGCACGCUUCUGGUCGAAUUUUGCAGAUGACAAGUGUGUGCCAUCGGUCAUGCGAACAUUUGUGGCAGAAGGAGAGGAUAAAGAGAAAGCAGC